UUGAGUCUUCCAUAAAAUCCUUCUGGCCAAAGUGGAGGGAAAUGGGAUGAGUAAGGGCAACAGGAAAAUUCUGUCAGAUAUGAGAAAAAAUAGUUGCAUGUGGGUGAUCUAAUAUUGGCACAGAUUUCCAGAGAUGAUGUGGAAUUUCCAUGCUGGGAGACAGACAAAUCAUGCCUGGAAAAGGCCUUGAGUGAUCUGCACUUAUUCUGCCUGAGAGAUUGGAGCAGGUGACCUCUGGAGAUCCCUUCCAACCUUUAAUAUUUCUCUGUUUCCAGAGAAAUACACACCCAGUGUUGCCAUUUUACCUGGAGGGAGUAGAACAGAAGGGAGAAGAGGGAGAUUCAUUACAAGCCACACGUGUCUGGGUUCCCAUUCUGUGACAUUCCCUUUCAAUCAUUAGCCAGAGGCCAUUAUUUCUGCUUGUCUGAGUACCCUUGAUGUGUAUGAGGGGAAAAAAAAAAAAGAAUAAAGUGUCUAAAAUGUUUUUCCAACGAGAAAAUUUGAUGAUAGAAUGUCUCCUCAAACUGUCCUUGUCCUGUUUUCUCCUUCCUGUAAUGUCUCCAACUUCUCUUACUUUCAGAUUUAAAAUAUCUAUGACUUUGUCCACUCUGCAUCCCAAUUAGACAGAAUAAGCUGUUGUUAAGCUAUGUCUUGUCAGACUGUUGCAAGAUCAUAAAAAAAAAAGAGAAAGUCUGCUGCUUUUUCUCCUUUUUGAUAUGUUUCAGAGCUCUUACACAACAACCACAGCAAAGUCACGCCUUGAUGAGAGAGGUCAGAGCCUUUGGAACAAUUUCAGUAACUAGUUCUACAUUUGGAACAGCAGAAAAAAAAACCUAUCCAAAGGAAAGCUCUGGAGGGCCCAGCACAGGAAGGACGUGGAGCUGCUGGAGAGAGUCCAGAGCAGGCACCAAGAUGAGCAGAGGAUGGAGCAGCUCUGCUGGGAGGAAAGGGGAGAGAGUUGGGAUUGUUCAGCCUGGAGAGGAGAAGCUUUGGGGUGACCUGAUUGUGGCCUUGCAGGACCUGAAGGGGCUCCAGGAAAGAUGGAGAGAGACUGUGGACAAGGGAUGGAGGGACAGGACACAGGGAAUGGCUUCCCACUGAAAGAAACAAAAUUUUUAGAGGUGCCAGAAGGUGACAAAAUAUUUGGGAAGAGGAGAGAGACACCAUCCACAAGAUGGGCUUUGUGUGGCUACACCACAGAAGUGUUUGCAGCAGAGUAGGUAAAAAUAUGUCAACACAGCUGAGAGAGCUGGAAGAGAUCUGAAAUUGUGAAAUUCUGUGUGUGGAGAUGAAAUCUGCCACCCUGUGCUUGGCACACCCUGUGCUUGGCACACCCUGUGCCAUCCCACCCCUGGAGCUCCAAGAGCAGCAAACACGACUGUGCAACAACUGCUCCUUUAGGGAGACACUGGGAAUGGUCUGGGAUUUACCAGGAAGGUUGAAGGAUGGGAAGAAGGAAUUUUUU